UACGUAGGGUGCAAGCGUUGUCCGGAAUUAUUGGGCGUAAAGAGCUCGUAGGCGGUUUGUCGCGUCUGCUGUGAAAUCCCGAGGCUCAACCUCGGGCCUGCAGUGGGUACGGGCAGACUAGAGUGCGGUAGGGGAGAAUGGAACUCCUGGUGUAGCGGUGGAAUGCGCAGAUAUCAGGAAGAACACCGAUGGCGAAGGCAGUUCUCUGGGCCGUAACUGACGCUGAGGAGCGAAAGCGUGGGGAGCGAACAGG
rnacentral:rRNA from 1 species